rnacentral:siRNA from 1 species
ACGGGUUAUAUGGUGUGACGGGU